UACAGAGGUCUCAAGCGUUGUUCGGAUUCAUUGGGCGUAAAGGGUGCGUAGGUGGCGCGCUAAGUCAGGUGUGAAAUCUCGGAGCUUAACUCCGAAACUGCAUUUGAUACUGGCGUGCUUGAGGACUGGAGAGGAGACUGGAAUUCACGGUGUAGCAGUGAAAUGCGUAGAUAUCGGAAGGAACACCAGUGGCGAAAAGCGGCUUCCUGGUCCAGCAUCGACGUUCAGGCACGAAAAGCGUGGGGAGCAAACAGG
rnacentral:rRNA from 1 species